GUCAUACUACGGUGCAUCUAGGGUUAAAGUAAACGAUGAUACUUACUGAACUCUACGUUAAAAUACCCGUCAAAAUGCAAAACCGAUCUUAACUUGGGUUUUUUAGCCCGAGUUAGUUUUUUU
rnacentral:sRNA from 1 species